AAAUAACUAGUGGUCCUUACCUUAAUUUCGGCCACGACCCCUAUUUCUAAUAGCAAAAAGGAAUGGGAACAAUGGCUUUUUUGAGAGGAAAAAAAAUGAAAGAAAAGUCAAUCAAUGUGCUUUUCGAUGGCUGCUUCAAGGGAAAGGUUGAUCCUUUAAAUAGAAGACCAAUCAAGGUGGUGGAAGCUUCAAAACUUCAAUUCCCAUA
rnacentral:lncRNA from 1 species